GACGGGUGAGUAACGCGUGGGCAACCUACCCAUAAGAGGGGGAUAACAGUUGGAAACGACUGCUAAUACCGCAUAAGCUAUUGAGGUCGCAUGACCUAAAUAGUAAAGGUGGCGCUUGUUUACAAGCUAUCACUUAUGGAUGGGCCCGCGUCUGAUUAGCUAGUUGGUGGGGUAGAAGCCUACCAAGGCAACGAUCAGUAGCCGGCCUGAGAGGGUGGACGGCCACACUGGGACUGAGACACGGCCCAGACUCCUACGGGAGGCAGCAGUGGGGAAUAUUGCGCAAUGGGGGAAACCCUGACGCAGCGACGCCGCGUGAGCGAUGAAGGCCUUAGGGUCGUAAAGCUCUGUUGUAAGGGACGAAUGUUUAUCUGGCGAACAGUCAGAUAAAGUGACGGUACCUUACCAGCAAGCCCCGGCUAACUACGUGCCAGCAGCCGCGGUAAGACGUAGGGGGCGAGCGUUGUCCGGAAUUACUGGGCGUAAAGAGCACGUAGGCGGAUAAUUAAGUCAGAUGUGAAAGACCGGGGCCCAACCUCGGGGUUGCAUCUGAAACUGGAUAUCUUGAGGGCAGGAGAGGAAAGUGGAAUUCCUGGUGUAGCGGUGAAAUGCGUAGAAAUCAGGAGGAAUACCAGUGGCGAAGGCGACUUUCUGGACUGACCCUGACGCUGAGGUGCGAAAGCGUGGGUAGCAAACAGGAUUAGAUACCCUGGUAGUCCACGCUGUAAACGAUGGAUACUAGGUGUGGGAGGUAUCGACCCCUUCCGUGCCGGAGCUAACGCAAUAAGUAUCCCGCCUGAAGAGUACGGUCGCAAGGCUGAACUCAAGGCUUGACGUUAAAACCGCAC
rnacentral:rRNA from 1 species